rnacentral:rRNA from 1 species
UACGAAGGGGGCUAGCGUUGCUCGGAAUUACUGGGCGUAAAGGGCGCGUAGGCGGGUCGUUAAAUCAGAGGUGAAAGCCCAGGGCUCAACCCUGGAAUUGCCUUUGAUACUGGCGACCUUGAGUAUGGCAGAGGUGUGUGGAACUCCGAGUGUAGAGGUGAAAUUCGUAGAUAUUCGGAAGAACACCAGUGGCGAAGGCGACACACUGGGCCAUUACUGACGCUGAGGCGCGAAAGCGUGGGGAGCAAACAGG